UAGAAAUUUGAAACCGAAAUGAAGUAUAUUUCACGAGAUAUUAAGUUGUUUCAAUCGAGAAAUGGAUUUUUAUAUGACAACUAGUCCUACUAGUCCUUUUCCGCCAUAUCAGAUCAGCUUGAAUAUAAAACCCUGCUCUUUCUAACACCAGGGUUUCUUUAAUAAUCCAUAUUUUUCAUACUCUCUCAUCUCAGACAAGCAAAGUUUCUUCUUUGUUUAUUGUAAAACUUGCAAGAAACUAACACGAGGAAAAUUGCGAUGUCGAUGUUCAAAUUGCAAGGAAGGAAGCUUUGUUCUAUCACAGGGUCCAAAUGGUUGGGAUGAUGUAUUGAUCAAAGGCCGCAUGCAGGGAUAAUGUGAAUCCAAUACAAACUGUCAGGGAAAAACAGCUCUAAGUUAUUCACCUAUCACACCUAAAAUACAAUAGAAUUUUAUUUCAAAUGUGGGGAACAUCAUGGUAGAGAUGAACAGGCGCCAUUAUCAAUGUUGAAAUCUAACAUCAGAAAUAUUCCCUGCAUCACAUGCUCUGAAUCAUCGUAAGUUUACCCUUUCAUUUUAUGUCUCCUCCCAGAAAUAUUUAUGCUUCUAGAAAAGUUGAAUUUUUCAAAUCCAAACCACAGUUAAUAGAAACUAAUAACUCUGAUCCAACAUGGUCAAAAUAUUUAAUCAAAUUUUUUCACUCAUGCACCUACCUAUUGUUUGAAUUCUUUUAUUUGAUCUACAAAUCAGUAUAUGUCUGACAAUCAACUUAGAAUGCUAGUUAUGCUACAAUCUAUUUCCAUAACUUUGUGAAAAUCUUAUAGUUCAUUUCAAUUGUUCAUAAUAUGUUAGGAGUUUUCACUUAAUACCUUACAUA